GGACCAGACCCAUAGACUGGAGGUAUUGGUUUACAUCCUGGCCAGGGGACCAGACCCAUAGACUGGAGGUAUUAGUUUCCAUCCUGGCCAGGGGACCAGACCCAUAGACUGGAGGAAUUAGUUUCAUACAGGAGAAUGAUCAGAGUCAUGUCUCCACUAUUACAGGAACAGUAUCUAUACAGGAGAAUGAUCAGAGUCAUGUCUCCACUAUUACAGUAACAGUAUCUAUACAGUAGAAUGAUCAGAGUCAUGUCUCCACUAUUACAGGAACAGUAUGUAUACAGGAGAAUGAUCAGAGUCAUGUCUCCACUAUUACAGGAACAGUAUCUAUACAGCAGAAUGAUCAGAGUCAUGUCUCCACUAUUACAGGAACAGUAUCUAUACAGGAGAAUGAUCAGGGUCGUGUCUCCACUAUAACAGGAACAGUAUCUAUACAGGAGAAUGAUCAGAGGCAUGUCUCCAAUGUCCACAUUAGGGAAAGAAGUCACACUUCCUGUUUCCACUCAUCUUUAUUUGACUUGCUGUAAUACAGAGAUACAGGCCGUCUUAAAUCGUACAUUAACUCUCUUAACUUUUCUUCAUUUUGUCUUCAUUGAAAAUGUGUCACGUCCUGACCAUAGUAAGUUGUUAUUUUCUAUGGUAGAGUAGGUCAGGACAUGACAGGGGGUGUUUGUCUGUUUUUGUAUUUCUAUGUUCAGUUUCUAGUUUUGUAUUUCUAUGUUGGUGUUGUUUGGGUUGAUCUCCAAUUGGAGACAGCUGAUCCUCGCUACCUCUAAUUGGAGGUCAUAUUUAAGUUGAUGUUUGUCCCACCUGUUUUUGUGGGUGAUUCAUUUUGAGUAGUGUGUUUUCCUCUCUGCGUCAAGUUUUUUUUUGUUUGUUGUAUUUCUAGUAUUUAGUGUAUAGCAUUUAGUUAUACGGAAUAAAUAAAUAUGUGGAACUUCGAA